rnacentral:rRNA from 1 species
GGAAUAACCAUUGGAAACGAUGGCUAAUGCCGAAUAUGAACCCCUUUCGCAUGUUGGGGGUUGGAAAGCUCCGGCGGAGAAGGAUGAGCUCGCGGCCUAUCAGCUUGUUGGUGAGGUAAUGGCUCACCAAGGCAUUGACGGGUAGCCGGCCUGAGAGGGUGACCGGCCACACUGGGACUGAGACACGGCCCAGACUCCUACGGGAGGCAGCAGUGGGGAAUAUUGGACAAUGGGCGAAAGCCUGAUCCAGCAACGCCGCGUGAGGGAUGAAGGCCUUCGGGUUGUAAACCUCUUUCAGCAGGGACGAAGCGAGAGUGACGGUACCUGCAGAAGAAGGACCGGCCAACUACGUGCCA